rnacentral:rRNA from 1 species
UGGCGGCGUGCCUAACACAUGCAAGUCGAACGGGAAUCUUAGGAUUCUAGUGGCGGACGGGUGAGUAACGCGUAAGAAUCUAACUUCAGGACGGGGACAACAGUUGGAAACGACUGCUAAUACCCGAUGUGCCGCAAGGUGAAACCUAAUUGGCCUGGAGAAGAGCUUGCGUCUGAUUAGCUAGUUGGUGGGGUAAAGGCCUACCAAGGCGACGAUCAGUAGCUGGUCUGAGAGGAUGAGCAGCCACACUGGGACUGAGACACGGCCCAGACUCCUACGGGAGGCAGCAGUGGGGAAUUUUCCGCAAUGGGCGAAAGCCUGACGGAGCAACGCCGCGUGGGGGAGGAAGGUCUUUGGAUUGUAAACCUCUUUUCUCAAGGAAGAAGUUCUGACGGUACUUGAGGAAUCAGCCUCGGCUAACUCCGUGCCAGCAGCCGCGGUAAUACGGGGGAGGCAAGCGUUAUCCGGAAUUAUUGGGCGUAAAGCGUCCGCAGGUGGUCAGCCAAGUCUGCCGUCAAAUCAGGUUGCUUAACGACCUAAAGGCGGUGGAAACUGGCAGACUAGAGAGCAGUAGGGGUAGCAGGAAUUCCCAGUGUAGCGGUGAAAUGCGUAGAGAUUGGGAAGAACAUCGGUGGCGAAAGCGUGCUACUGGGCUGUAUCUGACACUCAGGGACGAAAGCUAGGGGAGCGAAAGGGAUUAGAUACCCCUGUAGUCCUAGCCGUAAACGAUGGAUACUAGGCGUGGCUUGUAUCGACCCGAGCCGUGCCGAAGCUAACGCG